UACGUAGGGUGCGAGCGUUGUCCGGAAUUAUUGGGCGUAAAGGGCUCGUAGGCGGUUUGUCGCGUCGGGAGUGAAAACACGGGGCUUAACCCCGUGCCUGCUUCCGAUACGGGCAGACUAGAGGUAUGCAGGGGAGAACGGAAUUCCUGGUGUAGCGGUGAAAUGCGUAGAUAUCAGGAGGAACACCGGUGGCGAAGGCGGGUCUCUGGGCAACAACUGACGCUGAGGCGCGAAAGCGUGGGGAGCAAACGGG
rnacentral:rRNA from 1 species